CUAUAAAUAUUGCCAUAAUGUCAAAUACUAUAAAUGAUCCCAAUAAAUUUGGACUUCUAUUGUAGGCAGCCGGGCGCCUAAAAGAUGGCGCCGGCCUCCGGUACACCGUCGCUGUAAACAAUGCCACUGCGCAGGCGCUAGCCCGAAUCUGGCGCGAACCCCUCCAGAGCGGGUGCAUACAAAUCAAAGUGCCAGCAGACUGACCAAUCCCAGGAGGACACAUAGCUCUCCCCAGUGCUGGGGUGUAUAUAAGCAGUCCUCCCUGGGUUUCCUGGGUUCCCGUAGCAUCAAGGCGUUCCAGGAAUAAAGCUGUUGAGAAGAAUCCGACCAUGUUGCGUUUUUUCUUGCUGGACGAGGUGAGCGCAACAUUCUAUUAUCAUUGUGUGUGCAUAAUCAGGCAAGGGAGAGUCACGUUCUUCCACUUUGAAUUUUCCUGGAACAAAAAUGUGAGAAACUUUAAAGAGUCAAGAAAGAAAGAAAUAGGCUGGCCUACUCAGAGGUAGGGUCCUUGGCCCAGAGUAUGUACAGUGCUGGGUUCUACCCCUAACACUGACAAAAGCAAAACAAAUAUGGAAUCAACAAACAAGAAUAAAGGGAUGAAGAAGAAAAAGAAAGCAACUAGUAACUCAAACCAGAAAACCUUUGUCUAUUAUGACCUGGCAUCUCCACCAAGAAAGCAGCAGCUUGAACUUGGUUCUUGUGUGACUCUUGAUCAGGUCACUGCAUCUGAACAGUUCCAUGGUUUAAUAUUUCGUGAAGAACAGUAUAUGGGAGACUCUCUGCUUGUCUGCAAUCAGCUCCACGAGGGAUAUGUCUGAAAGGUAUUUCAUUAAAGUCGCUUGUUUGGUUUUCUGUUUGUUUGAUUUCCCACACCCCACUCUCUCUACUAAAAAGCAGCUGAAUGUAUGGGGGCUUUUUAUUAGGUCUAAGUGUCAUUCAGAGUCCUUUCUUUCCCGUAGACAUGAAAGAUCUAUGUGGAACAUGCUGAACAGGGCUCACGGUGAAAUACCAGAGCUUUUCACAACCUAAAACAGUCAGGGUACCCUGAGAAUAGAACAAAAGAAAUUAAACCGCUGGAUAUGCCACAGUUGUCUCAUGCCGCAGUUAGAAAUUUAAUUAUUUUAUCUCAUAGAAUAAUGUGCCCUUCAGAAAUCAUUUUGGACUAGAUGUUUCAAACCAAUGAUCUGUAGUUAAUUAUCUUUAAUAACUGUUGCACAUUAUGGUUAGAUCUAUGUUUUUGCUAAACCAAUUAAUAAUAUCUUCAUUAGUAUAAAGACAAGGUAGCAG
rnacentral:lncRNA from 1 species